UACAGAGGGAGCAAGCGUUGUUCGGAAUUACUGGGCGUAAAGGGCGCGUAGGCGGUUCGAUAAGUCCCGUGUGAAAUCCCUCGGCUCAACUGAGGAAUUGCACGGGAAACUGACGGGCUUGAGUUCGGGAGAGGGAAGCGGAAUUCCGGGUGUAGCGGUGAAAUGCGUAGAUAUCCGGAGGAACACCGGUGGCGAAGGCGGCUUCCUGGACCGACACUGACGCUGAGGCGCGAAAGCUAGGGGAGCAAACAGG
rnacentral:rRNA from 1 species